CAAACUCAUCUUGGCAUUAAUUGUGACUGAAAUACUAAUGAUUUUGAUUAUACUUUUCUGCCUCAUUGUGGUUUAGGAUUGGGUGUGUGUGUCUCCUCUCUGAACUCAUCUUGGCAUUAAUUGUGACUGAAAUACUAAUGAUUUUGAUUAUACUUUUCUGCCUCAUUGUGAUGUGUUGUCACCGAAGGUCAUUACAAGAAGAUGAAGAAGGAUUCUCAAGGAGAAGUACAUUGUGAGAUACGUGGGAAAUGGCUGCAUCACUCACUGUCUUGUGCAUGUGUCUCCCCAGGGGCAUUUUCAGGUUUCUGCCACGGAGGAGAUGCUCUUCACGAAGGGAGAGUCAGGGACAGCGAAGCCCCAACAGAGAAGGGGGAGGAGAGUGAAGCCCUGCCAUAGGAGGAGAACCCAGCCCACCUCAGGCCUCCUGCAAAAACACAUAGCAUAAACAAUACCAUCAGAAAGAAAAGCAGGACUGAAGCCAGCGGCCCACACAUCCACAGAGGCAGCGGGCAGAGCAAGCCCCUUGUUUCCCAGUCUAAUUAGUCACCCAGACCUGAAAACAUAUCCUCAGGGGGUGGAGAUUUUACAAUUACCAUUGUUUUUGGUGCCCUCUCCCUUGCUUCAUCAAGCAUCAGUCAUAUAAUACCACAGAUUUGAACUCCUGCCCACAGGGGACCUCCCAUCUCCUGGCCCCUAUCAUAGGAUCACUGGGCCUACCUGCACUGUGGGGCCAAGCCCUGUCUUUUUCCCAAGCCCUCAAGCACACGCAUGAGUGUUCAUCCCGACUUGGUAGGGGGCUUUUCACCCUUACAAGAUGGCAAAAGAUUCACAUUGCUUUUUUAAAAAUUUGUUUUUCUUUUUAAAAAUCCCAACCCUUGGAUAGCAGGGAGGUGCUGGAGGGGUAGAGUCAAGAAGAGUGUGAGAACAGUAAUUUCCCAAGACUGCCCUCUGUGGGACUGUAUUUCAGAAAACACACUGGUGGGGCUACCUCUCAAUUCACAUGUACUGCCCUAGCCUCUCCCCAUCCCCGGCUGACGCUCAUCCAUAACUGCACUGUUCCAUAACAGCAGUAGAAUGUUGCAGAAAGUGCUAGGAUUCCUCCACUCCAUCUUCAAAGAAAAAGUCGCUAAUAAAUCACAUUUGGUAGGUUAGUGAAUGUUAAACACAUUAGUGAGCAAAAGAAAAUAGGAAUGAACAAGAAUUGGUCAUCUACCUAACUGAACACAAAUGAACUCUGGCAGUUCAGUAAUAGGAGGUAAAGAACCACGCUAAUUGCAGAACAGCAGCCCCCCUACCUUCCCAGGAGCAGUGUGACUGGGAAGCAGCCCCGUG
rnacentral:lncRNA from 1 species